UGGUCAAGCAUGACUUCCCUUUGGUGAAUCCAUGUUAACUACUCCUGAUAACCUUCUUUUCUUUCACUUGCUUGAAGAUGUCAUCCAGAAUAAGUUGUUCCAUUGGCUUCCCAGGGACAGAGUUUGCAACAACUCUACCUGUACUGAUCAACACUGCUGAAGUUCAAAGAAGAGGCCACUGAAGAAAGAAGGGCCAAGAUGCAGUCACUCAGUAUUACUGCUAAUUCCUGGUGAGCUCUGGCAAGCCACACAGUUAUUGCAAAAUUCAAUCACAUACUUAUGUGCACCAGCACGAACAUGUCUAUGAACAUAGCUAUGUCAUGUGCUACCCAAAAUAUCACUUCCAAACUACUUUCCCUUUUUGCCUCCUCUUCACUCCCUCUGCUGCUCAUUAAAACUCAUCUCUCCCACGUACAAUGGUGGAGAGUCAGCAGGUUGCUCAGGUAGCAUUAGCUAAUGGGAACUGACAGCCUGCUACCAUUUUCUGAAGGCUGAUUUUUUUUGAUACAUGCCAGUCUUAGAGACUGACUAAUUCUACAGAAUACUUCUAUAAUGGGGAGACUGACCUCAGGCAGGAGACUUUUUGUGUCACUGUGAACAAGUGCACGGAAGACACGAGGGGAUGGCAAGAACUCUCUAGCAGCAAAAGGCAGGGAGAAGAAAACUGAUGUACAGCAAGAAUAUCUGCUUAACCACAGCAGGCAACUCAGUGAUUGGUCCUCUAAUGAACAAGCUGGGAUCCUGUAAAAAGCAGCUUUAACUGAUGAUAAGCUAGAAUACUGGACAAGUCAUGAGAAGUGUUUUCCCACUGAUUUACAGCACUCUGGAUCCAAUUAAAGCACUCCUCCUUCCCUCUGC